UUCGUACAGUACCGUCAAGCUUCUACACGUAGAAGUGUUUCUUCCUGUACAAAAGAAGUUUACAACGCAUAGCGCCGUCAUCCUUCACGCGGCAUGGCUGGUUCAGGCUUGCGCCCAU
rnacentral:rRNA from 1 species